AGCGAACGCUGGCGGCAGGCUUAACACAUGCAAGUCGAGCGGACCUUUCGGGGUCAGCGGCGGACGGGUGAGUAACGCGUGGGAACGUGCCUUCCGGUUCGGAAUAACCCUGGGAAACUAGGGCUAAUACCGGAUACGCCCUUAUGGGGAAAGGUUUACUGCCGGAAGAUCGGCCCGCGUCUGAUUAGCUAGUUGGUGGGGUAACGGCCUACCAAGGCGACGAUCAGUAGCUGGUCUGAGAGGAUGAUCAGCCACACUGGGACUGAGACACGGCCCAGACUCCUACGGGAGGCAGCAGUGGGGAAUAUUGGACAAUGGGCGCAAGCCUGAUCCAGCCAUGCCGCGUGAGUGAUGAAGGCCUUAGGGUUGUAAAGCUCUUUUAUCCGGGACGAUAAUGACGGUACCGGAGGAAUAAGCCCCGGCUAACUACGUG
rnacentral:rRNA from 1 species